UCCAGGUACCUGAAGAUCACCCCCAUCCCCCUGGUGGACCCCCCUCAGUUCAGCUUCCAGUGGGGGCCCCGGGCGGCCCAGGAGACCUCCAAGGAGGAAAUCCUCAACUUCGUGGCCAAGGUGCAGGGGAAGAGCCCCAAGUUCUGGACGAGUCAACACAACGAGGCCACGGCCCCCAAGGCCCCCCCAAAAUAAAGGUGUGCAGCCCCCC